CCCAGGAUCGGACCUCGGCGCCGGAGCGCGGCUGUGCGGGGAUUUGCACCGGGGCUGGCGGAGCGGCGGCGGCGGCGGCAGCAGCAGCGCGGGGACCGGGCGGGCGGGAGGACCGGCUCGGCUCGGCACCUGCUCUCCCGCCGGCCCCCGAUGCGAGGCGGCGGCGGCGGAGGCGGCACCGCGGGGCGCGGGGGCUCGGCUUGCCCGGGGAUGCGCCGGCCGGGCGGGCGCAGCGGGGACUGAGCAGCGCCCGAGCCCGCGGCGCGGCCGAGCCAGCCCUCCCCGCAGCUCCGAGCCGGGACCGCCGCUCCCGCUCCGCUCCGCUCCGCUCCGAGCGCAGGUGAUGCUGGCCGGCGGCAGCCGCGGCGCGUCGGAGCAGCACGGUCUUCUGCACCUGAGAGCCAUAUGCUGUUCUCAGUUUCUGGAGAACCGAAGGAGCAACCUUUCAUCCUCAGCACCUUGGCUCUUAUAGAAGACCUUGCUGUGCCAAGGAGAGUUAAGGCAAAAGAAGCCCGCAAACAGACAGAAAACCCAGGCUGCAGCCCCCUGAAGCCCCUACCUAGAGUCUUGUGUAUCUACCAAGAUCUCUUACCGAAGCAAAAAGCCCUUUCAGGAUUUUGUCACUGGGAGCCAUGUUCAGAGUUGGACAAGUCUGCAGAGGCAUCGCAGCACUUUGAACUAGAUUUGGAUUUCUUGAGACCCUAGUUGUUGGCUUGGCUAGGACCAUCAUUCCCUUGUGAACCUUCUGGAUCCAGGCUGUCCUCUCCCUCCCCUGCCUGAAAAAGUGUCUAAGGUUUCAUAGCAAGGCCGUGAGGGUCAGUCAAGACGUGCACAAUUGGAAAGAAAAGGAAAGAUCGAUACCCACUGAGCCUCUGGCAGCCAAUCAGCCUGCAUCCUGACAUCAUCUGACUUGGGUCACCAGAAACAAGGAAGAUUUGGAAAGAAAGGCACCAACUGCCCUGAAGCAUCUGUGCCAGUUCUGGCAGUUAUUACGUUUUUUCUGGUGGCUUCUCAUGCACAUAGUCAUUGGUUCCAAUUCUGCUUGGUGUAAGAGGUAAAUGAGAUCCAGGUCAUCAGGCUUCAUCUCCUUGGUGUCACUCAGCAUGCUAUACAAAUAGUAAAGGCUGUUGCCUUUAAAAAUAAUGGAUAACGCUUGUAUGUGAAGGUAGGAGAAAGAGAGGGAGAGGGCUAUCAGCAUAACUAGGCUGCAGUUUUGUACACACACACCAAGCAAUUGACAGUGCCCAGAUACCACAGUGAUGGGAAAAAGAUAAACUCAGUGCAUUCUAGUUGCCUGUACAAGAAGGAAGGUGCAGAUUGAAUUGCAUUGGGGUGUUUGUGCAUAGCCUCAGACACAGCAUUAUCAUUCUGCUUUUGAUCACUGAAGGAUACAGCUGAAUACUUGAAUGAGAGAAAUGUGGUUAUGCUGAAAUCCAAGAAAAGAUGCCUUUUGUUCCUCCCCCUGCAUGUUUAUUUGCAUAAGAGUCUGUGCUGUAGGAGAAACAGACAGAAGAAACUCGAGGAAAGGGAGGGUGAGCAGUGGACAGUUUUGAAACUCAGUGUAAUUUCAGGACACUUAAGAAAGUCUCAUUAUCAGUGGUGAGAUAGCAGCAGCUGAGGCAAGUCAGCCAAUGGUCUGACAUGCAUUACUCUACAUGACGUGCUUGCUGGGAUCCCAUUGGUUAACUUUCUGGGUCUGUCCGGCAUUUGUACAUAAAUAUAAAAAGUGUGAUUUCCCUGCAGUGACCUUGCAGUAAGGUAAUGUCCUCUGCCUUCCUCAGAGCUGUGAAGCGUAUUUUCCUUCAGUAGCUGGAUGUCUGCUCUUUAGCUGUUACAUCAGGUUGAGUUUGGGAGUUAGGCUGGCACUUCAUCAUUUCAGGAUGCACUUUCCUCAAAGAAGUAGAGGUAUGGAGUAUUUGCAGUAAAAAGGAACAGUGCCCCAGCCUGGAGGUUUCCCUCAUUUGAUUAGGUGUUCAUUACAUGGUCUCUUUCCCCAUGAAAAGAACCUGGUGCUGAGCCAGAGGUGCAGGUGGAAAUUCUACUUUCAGCGUGGUUCUGACAGAAGAACAGCCAUUUCAUUGCAUUUCACAGAAAAAAUGGAAUCUGAGGGGUGCAAAAUCACCUGAAAUGAAAAGGUGAAACUGUUUGUGUGAGAUUUCAUGGGGAGGUUGUCACCUUCCUCCAUUCGCUGCCCUUGAUUUCUGACAGAAAGAUUCCCUUAUGCCAAAAGGCAUGAAAGCGAAAGCCUUAUGGUGAAGCAUUUGGUGUUGAGAGCCCCAGAUUGCAUUUCCUGGUCUAUCACAGACUUCCUGGUGACCAUGAACAUGGCAGUCAGCCUCUCUAAUGCUUUUCCGUACCUGUAAAACAGGGAUGCAAGGACUGCUCUGCCAGACAGGAAAUUUGUGAGGAUAUAUGUAUUAACAUUCAAGGUCUUACACUAAUGGUGGUCAUGUGGUAACUAAGGAGGGCAGACUGGAAGAGAGUAAUAAUGAGAAAUUCCUCAGCCAGAUCUUUAUGCUCUCACACUACUCCAUUCCAUGGGAGGCAUUACACUGCUGAGGCCCCUCAGGACCAAGAAGUUCAUUCAGACAUGUCUUAUCAUCCAGGGUUAUACAUUAUUUACUGCAGCAAAGGGGGGCUGUGUUAACCCAGGACAGAGCACAAGUUGUAUUGUGACCAUAUAACCACCAGUAUGUGUUACACUACAGUGGGAUAAACAGCAUUCCUUUCUCUACACCAUGGUCAGAGGCUUAGCUCCAUCUCUCGCCACAGCGGGAGGGUCCUUGGGUCCAGAAUGGCCUGGCUCUCAGCAGAAUCCUGCUGUGUGGUUUGGAUGCACUGGCUAUUUUUAGGGAGAUUUAGAAGUGCCACUCCUAUUAACCGUGGGUCCAAAUGCCAGCCUUAUGAAGUCACCAUUUAGGCAGUCUCAACAUCAGCAAUACUUAUGGUCUCAAACAGAUAGACAGACCCCAUGUUGAUUGGAGAGGACAGCAGGGCAGGGAGGGGAUUUGUCACGUAUGCAAGCAACCCAGAUCAAAGGGACCCCAAAGGUGACAUCCAUCAAAAAGCUUUUAAUGCUAAGCCCUGGAGCAAGGAAAUUUACACAAGGGACUAAUUUUCUUUCCUGAUCAUCCCUUUCAUAACAAACUGUGUCAACUUGACAUUCAGGAAACUUUAAUACCUUU